rnacentral:rRNA from 1 species
AUUGAACGCUGGCGGCAUGCCUUACACAUGCAAGUCGAACGGCAGCACGGGUGCUUGCACCUGGUGGCGAGUGGCGAACGGGUGAGUAAUACAUCGGAACAUGUCCUGUAGUGGGGGAUAGCCCGGCGAAAGCCGGAUUAAUACCGCAUACGAUCUACGGAUGAAAGCGGGGGACCUUCGGGCCUCGCGCUAUAGGGUUGGCCGAUGGCUGAUUAGCUAGUUGGUGGGGUAAAGGCCUACCAAGGCGACGAUUAGUAGCUGGUCUGAGAGGACGACCAGCCACACUGGGACUGAGACACGGCCCAGACUCCUACGGGAGGCAGCAGUGGGGAAUUUUGGACAAUGGGCGAAAGCCUGAUCCAGCAAUGCCGCGUGUGUGAAGAAGGCCUUCGGGUUGUAAAGCACUUUUGUCCGGAAAGAAAUCCUUGGCCCUAAUACGGUCGGGGGAUGACGGUACCGGAAGAAUAAGCACCGGCUAACUACGUG